AUUACUAAGCGGAGGAAAAGAAACUAACGAGGAUUCCCUCAGUAACGGCGAGUGAAGCGGGAAGAGCCCAGCACCGAAUCCCCCCGUCUGCCAAAGGCGGCGGGAGCUGUGGUGUGUGGGGCGGUCCUCUGCCUUGUCCGGCGCUGCCUCUCCCAAGUGUACGUUGGAACUGGACGAGCGGCAGAAUGCAAUCUGCACCCAGAGAGGGUGAUAGGCCCGUGGGGAGCGGGCGCCGGGCGGCGGUGUGGCUGCCUCCAGAGUCGGGUUGUUUGGGAAUGCAGCCCAAAGCGGGUGGUAGACUCCAUCCAAGGCUAAAUACGCUGGCGAGUCCGAUAGCAAACAAGUACCGCGAGGGAAAGUUGAAAAGAACUUUGAAAAGAGAGUUCAAGAGUACGUGAAACCGUUCAGAGGUAAACGGAUGGAAUCGCAAACGCCGCCGCGGGUCUCAGUCCGGUGCGCUUCGGCGCGCCGGGUGUACUGCCCGCGGCGGGAUGUCGCUCCCGGUGCUCCCGCUGCCGUGGUUACCUCUCAAAGGCGUCGUGGCUUGUAAAAGGGCCGUCGGCGCAGGGGGGUCGACCGCAAGCGGCCGGCGGUUUUUUCGGGCACCGGACGAGCGGCGGGCUUUUGAACGACCGCCCAUCCGACCCGUCUUGAAACACGGACCAAGGAGUCUUGCAUGCGUGCGAGUCACGGGGACCAGACAAGUCCCACCUGGGCGCAGAGAAAGCGAACUGGCCGGAGGGCGCUCCGCCUCGGCGGUGGCGCCUGCACGGCGGGCCCGCAGCAUGAAUGUGGAGCCUGAGCACGCAUGUUGGUACCCGAAAGAUGGUGAACUAUGCCCGAGCAGGACGAAGCCAUUGGAAACUUUGGUGGAGGUCCGUAGCGGUUC
rnacentral:rRNA from 1 species